UACGUAGGGUGCGAGCGUUGUCCGGAAUUAUUGGGCGUAAAGAGCUUGUAGGCGGUUUGUCGCGUCUGCUGUGAAAAUCCGGGGCUCAACCCCGGACUUGCAGUGGGUACGGGCAGACUAGAGUGUGGUAGGGGAGACUGGAAUUCCUUGUGUAGCGGUGAAAUGCGCAGAUAUCAGGAGGAACACCGAUGGCGAAGGCAGGUCUCUGGGCCACUACUGACGCUGAGAAGCGAAAGCAUGGGGAGCGAACAGGAUUAGAUACCCCCGUA
rnacentral:rRNA from 1 species